GACGAACGCUGGCGGCGUGCUUAACACAUGCAAGUCGAACGGAAAGGCCCUGCUUGCAGGGUACUCGAGUGGCGAACGGGUGAGUAACACGUGGGUGAUCUGCCCUUCACUUCGGGAUAAGCCUUGGAAACUGGUUCUAAUACCGGAUAGGAGCCAUUUUUAGUGUGAUGGUUGGAAAGUUUUUUCGGUGUAGGAUGAGCUCGCGGCCUAUCAGCUUGUUGGUGGGGUAAUGGCCUACCAAGGCGGCGACGGGUAGCCGGCCUGAGAGGGUGGCCGGCCACAUUGGGACUGAGAUACGGCCCAGACUCCGACGGGAGGCAGCAGUGGGGAAUAUUGCACAAUGGGAGCAAGCCUGAUGCAGCGACGCCGCGUGGGGGAUGACGGCCUUCGGGUUGUAAACUCCUUUCGCUAGGGACGAAGCUUUUUGUGACGGUACCUAGAUAAGAAGCACCGGCUAACUACGUG
rnacentral:rRNA from 1 species